rnacentral:rRNA from 1 species
CCUACGGGAGGCAGCAGUGGGGAAUAUUGGGCAAUGGGCGCAAGCCUGACCCAGCAAUGCCGCGUGAAGGAAGAAGGCUUUCGGGUUGUAAACUUCUUUGACAGGGGAAGAGCAGAAGACGGUACCCUGAAAACAAGCCACGGCUAACUACGUGCCAGCAGCCGCGGUAAUACGUAGGUGGCAAGCGUUGUCCGGAUUUACUGGGUGUAAAGGGCGUGUAGCCGGGAAGGCAAGUCAGAGGUGAAAUCUGGAGGCUUAACCUCCAAAUUGCAUUUAAAACUGUUUUUCUUGAGUACUGGAGAGGCAGACGGAAUGCCUGGUGUAGCGGUGAAAUGCGUAGAGAUAAGGAGGAACACCAGUGGCGAAGGCGGUCUGCUGGACAGCAACUGACGGUGAGGCGCGAAAGCGUGGGGAGCAAACAGGAUUAGAUACCCUAGUAGUC